rnacentral:rRNA from 1 species
GAAGCGGGAAAAGCUCAAAUUUAAAAUCUGGUGGUCUUUGGCCAUCCGAGUUGUAAUCUAGAGAAGUGUUAUCCGCGCUGGACCGUGUACAAGUCCCCUGGAAUGGGGCGUCAUAGAGGGUGAGAAUCCCGUCUUUGACACGGACUACCAGGGCUUUGUGAUGCACUCUCAAAGAGUCGAGUUGUUUGGGAAUGCAGCUCAAAAUGGGUGGUAAAUUCCAUCUAAAGCUAAAUAUUGGCGAGAGACCGAUAGCGAACAAGUACCGUGAGGGAAAGAUGAAAAGAACUUUGGAAAGAGAGUUAAACAGUACGUGAAAUUGUUGAAAGGGAAACGCUUGAAGUCAGUCGCGUCUGCCAGGGAUCAACCUUACUUUUGUGAGGCGUACUUCCUGGUUGAUGGGUCAGCAUCAGUUUUGGUCGCUGGAUAAAGGUCAGAGAAAUGUGGCACCUUCGGGUGUGUUAUAGUCUUUGAUCAGAUACAGUGGCUGGGACUGAGGAACUCAGCGCCGCAAGGCUGUCUUAGGAUGCUGGCAAAAUGGCUUUAAUCGACCCGUCUUGAAACACGGACCAAGGAGUCUAACAUGCCUGCGAGUGUUUGGGUGGAAAACCCGAGCGCGUAAUGAAAGUGAAAGUUGGGAUCCCUGUCAUGGGGAGCACCGACGCCCAUACCAGAAGUUUACGGACGGAUAUGCGGUAGAGCAUGUAUGUUGGGACCCGAAAGAUGGUGAACUAUGCCUGAAUAGGGCGAAGCCAGAGGAAACUCUGGUGGAGGCUCGUAGCGAUUCUGACGUGCAAAUCGAUCGUCGAAUUUGGGUAUA